rnacentral:lncRNA from 1 species
CAACACCCCAUGGUCAGAUCCAGGCUUUGCGAGGUCUGAAGUAAUAAUUUAUAGCACACUUCAAUGGUAGCUGUUAGAACAAGGUUACUUCCAGGGUGAAAGGA